AAACAACCAAAAUGGAAAAGGGUGUGUCCAAAACCCCAAUAACAAGGAGUGGGGUGGGUGGGAUCAAUGAAGGUCAGAAAUUGGCGGUGGAGAUAGUAAUCGGGCAGAAAUUGGGUGGGGUCAAUGAAUGGAUUCUGCAAUUGUUUUGGAGCUGAUUACAGAAAAUGAUGAGUCAAAUUAUCUGGAAAUAGCGGAAACCUAAAGAAGAUAAAUCAUCGAAAACUUGUUAGCCAGGGAGCGCGAUUUAGCAAGCCGUGGAAGAGGGGAGGGUGUGGGUGUUGUGUGGAUCAAGAAGCAUCUCCAUGCGUGGAAGGCAAACCAAGAAAGAAACCUGUUCGUUCUAGUCUUCUUCGUGAGCAGCGUCAGCCAGCCAUUGAUAAACAAAGUUAUUUAUGUUAUUUCUUUGCUUCGUUCUCUGCCCAAAACACUUACACGAGCCAAUUUUACCAAAAUGCCCUUUUAAUUUCCAAAUUUGGAACACAAAUUUCUUCGGCUAUAUCGUGAACACUUAUUUGACCAAAAUGAAAGAGAAGUAACUGUGAGAAUUAAAUUUUUAUAUAUAAACCAUUUUAAAAAAAAUAAUAAUAAUUUUUAUAUUUGUGUGUUCGGGCCCGCUUAACCUUCAAUUUUAAAAGGUAAUUAUAAUGGAUGAUCAUUUGAGAAAUAAUAAUUAAAAAUAUAACAACAACUAAAAAAAAUUACAAAUAUAGCAAAAUUAUCCUCAUAGACUCUAUCACUCGUAGAUUCGUAUGAUCUAUCAGUGAUAGAUCAAUUUUUCCUCUAUCAUUUAUAGAAUUUAACAAAUUUUGCUAUAUUUGCAAUUUUUUUAAAAUGUUACUAUAUAUUUAAUUAUUUUGAAUUUAAUUACUAAAUUUGCAGCUAUCAUUUUUAAAAAACAUAAAUAAUAUAUCUUCGAAUAUUCUAGAUAAAAUUAAAAUAGUCACGUUCAAAUAAAAUAUAACAUAAUUUAACGUUUGUCACUGAUAAUAUUUUUACACAUUAAUUAUUUUAAUAUGUGUGUUCACACGAGAUUUCGAAAGAAAUGUAUUUCGUGGAAUUAAACUUUGAUAUGUUGAUGAAUAUUGUGAAUACAAUCUCUAGUAUUUACUCAUUUGAUGCUUUCUCUCAAAUAAAAUUUAAAAACUUCGAAUUUCUUGAUCUUCGGUCUUUAGGAUGUUGUAGUUGCAAGUCUAUUUGAGACUCAAUCUUAUGGAAUUUAAGGAGAGUUUGAUCUUCCAAGUCUUCAAUCAAUCUUUCAGAAGAUGAUGAUCUCGAAGUUGAUAUGAACUUGCACGUCUUGAGAGCUUUAUAGAAGUUUGAAUCUUCAAUUCUUCAGAGCUUCAAUUUUUCCUUCAACCCAGAGCCCCUCAAAUGAAUGACAAAGGUCUCCAUUUAUAGAGAAAUUUUGUGGGUUUUAGGUGGGCUUUGGCCUAUUUGCUUGUUGGGAUUGGACUUUGACCAAUUUGCCUGUUGGGCUUAGGCUUGGGCCAAUUUGCCUUAUUGGGUUUGGACUUGGGCUUGGGCUCAUUUGCUUUAUUAGGCUUGGGUCCGUCUGCUUGUUGAGUUUGAAUUUAGUUGGAUUGAGUAAACUUAAUUAUCAAAAUCAAAUAAAACAUAAUUAUCGAAUAUUUGUUAUGAUGAUGUGGUAGAAUUUAAUUGGCUGAAAUUUCUUGCUCAACAAUGUGUUAUUUUCUUUUUUUAAAAUAUGUGUGUUGUAUAGUCAACCAAAAGUGAAAGUUUUUCGCAACAAGAUUUUUCAAUAUCUGGAAAAGAAUUGAGCUGACGAGGUUGAAGUUACAAAUUUUGAAUGUAGAGUCACGCAAAUAAUGAAAAAACUCAAACAAAUUAAUUUUAUGAAGUUGAUAUUGCCAUCUUCCUCGACCAUGUGGAAAAAAAUAUAACAAUUUCGAGGUGCAGCAUCUUAUAGCAAAACACAACCUUCAAAUGGCACAGACAGAAGUGAGAAAAAAAUAAAAACAUGCAAGACAUAAUUAGUUUAAACCAUAAGGAAAACGGCAUGUGAUUUAAAAUCUAUGUAUUAUAAAGCAACUCACAAAUUGUCAAUCUUGCUUCAACUAAUGGCGCUAAAAGAACACGAAAAUUGUACGAUAAGCUUAUCAACGUUGGAGUGUGCUCAAGGGAUGUGAAUGACAACCACAAUUUGAUUGAUCAUAUAUUCACUUAUUUGAGGUUUUACUCUUAGACACUGAAUUUAUAUGAGAUUUGUUAAGAAGUUACGAAAGCAAAGUUGGAUGAUCUAUGGCUACCGCUUCCCAUAUAUGAGUGCACUUAUAACUCACUUUGUACAGUUUAGUCACGAGUGUGACUUUUGUAAACUAAAGUAUAAUUCUCAUUCAAGUUUUGUAUAAUGUUUUAAAAUUUCUCUUUGUUUGGUUAAUAGCAAAGGGAAUGGAAUGAUAAUGAUGAACUUUCUUGUAAAUUUUGUCUUCUGAUUACUUUGACUAUAGCUGGGAGUACAAAUUAGAUUGAUGGACUUUGAAUAAUAAAACUUGGAUUGAAUAUGUUUAUAUAUUUAUUAUAGAGUUUGUUUAAAUAUAUAAAAUUUUGAGAAACUAUUUACCUUAAAAUAAAACUAAUAAAAGACAACUUUUACUUGUAUAUUUUUUAUGAAGUGUAUUUCUUCUUUUUUUUUUUUUUAUUUGUCAAAGUGUUGAAUUUUUUAUAAUUCUCUUUUAUUUUUACAUUUUUCAUAAAAAUGUAAGGUGGAUUUAAAUUUGUAUUCUCAGUUACAAAAAUCAGUUAAAUUUUCAAAUUUUCAAACAUAAUUGAAAGUAUUUCAUAUAAUAAUUAUAUAAAUAAUUUUUCUAUACAUUUUUAGAUUGGUUAACUUUAUGAACGUAUUAUUUUAACAAAACAAGUAAAUUCCAAUACAAAAUCCGUAUACAACUAAAUUUCAUAUAUUAAUUAUGUUGCUCAUCCAAACAUAAACAUUAGCUAUUACCAAUCUUCAUUGUAAACGUUAUGCAAGAAACAACGCAAAUCUAAGCGAUCAUAAAACAAGGUAUUCCACUAUCGUUAAAAGCUAGAUUAUAAAACAAAAUAUUUCAGCAUCAUUAAGGGUAUGGAAGAUCCGGGUUGAAAUAAGCAUGCUAUUAACAUUUUUUGUCGUGAAAUAUAAAGAAAAGGGAAAUAAUCCGACAUUAAAACUUAAAGCAUUUAAGUUGAUGAGUUCUCAAAUAAUUUACUUGAGCAGAUGGAAUUGAUCCAUUUCCUAUUUAAAGUCACACUAGUCACUAAGCGCGAUUUCCAUGACGAUUGGCAGAGGAUUCUGGAUGUCCUUCAGAACCAAACACAAAAAACCUUUAUUAUCAAUCCAUUCCACGCUGAUAAAGCUUUGCUCAAAUGCCCUGAUCAGACGAUAGCUAGACUUCUCACGAUGAACAAGGACUGGGCUACCUACGGCCCUUUAACCUUGAAAAUGGAAUGGUGGGAUCCAAAAAAACAUGGGAGAAUGGCGCUUGUUCCAUCUUAUGGAGGAUGGAUCAAACUAAGAAAUUUUCCCCUGCAUCUGUGGAAUGAGGAAGUUUUUAAGAGGGUUGGUGAUAAGUUAGGAGGUUUCAUUGAGUUUGCGGAAGAAAAUUCGAGCCUCAUUAACUGCUUGGAAGUGAAUAUCAAAGUUAGAGGGAACUAUUGCGGCUUCAUUCCGGCGGAUUUUGAGUUGAUAGAAGGAUCCGAUUCUUAUCUUGUGCAGGUGGUUUCCUUCCAAGAUCCCAAUCUCCUUAUUGAUAAAGUCGCCGGAAUCCAUGGAUCCUUCUCGCCGGAACAAGCUGAGAAGUUCUUCAAAGGUCCGGGCGGCCCGGAUCCGAAUCCGAUUGAUAUUUGGCGUGUGGAGAAGUCGAACUCAAGGCUGGCAGUUUUCGCUUUUCAGAAUUCUGAGAUGGUGAGUACGGCGACAGAAGAAGCUGGAAAAUUCUGUCCUUCUCUGCAAACUGACGGAGAGAUUAGAGGAACAAAUUUAAAUUUGCCGCCCAAGAAAACCCUAAUGGAUUUGACUAAUAAAUUGGGCUUGACCAAUGAAGUGGGCCUCAUUUCAGAUGUGGGCUUCCCUGAUUUAAAAGGGAAAGGCAUAGCAGUGGAUGAAGUCCUUAGUCAACAGCCCACUAAUACUAAAAAGCAAACUGGGCUUUUUAUUAGAGAGAACUCCCAAGCUACCCGUGCCAAUCAUCCCCUGUUACUAAAACUGCCCAAGCCCACCAAAAUUAAAUUUGCAGAAAAGGAAGAAAUUCGACCUUUCUUUAAAAACAGUGUGAUCUGCUCCACGAACCAACCUGACGGCAGGGGAGACUCUUCAACCUCAACGUUCAUAUCAGACCGCAUUCAUGGUGAAAUAGAUCCAACUUUGGACGUUUCUAUUUCUAGCCCGGGCAGCCUCAUAUCUGAAAAUAAAUUUGCUCCUCUUGAAGCCGACGAAGUGCAGCACAUCUCGGAUUUUUCCUCCGACGUCCAAAGACUCUUCCACGAGGUAAGCACCACGGAAAGAGGCAGGGAAGAAGGUCUCCAGAUAAUAGCUGUUGAGGAUACCAGUGAGCCUCCUUUUUCCAAUGAAGAAUUACUCGAAAUUGAAAGCAUAACCGAGUUAGAACCAGCAGCUUCUAUACAGAAUCCUUUUCCAUUGAGUAAGGAGGUGAUAGCGGCUCUACUUGAAUAUGAUCUAUGCAUUCGGGCUGUAACCAGAAAAGGGAAACAACAUAGGAAGGGUGGGGCCUCCUCGAACAACAACAAAAAGCUUACUAGAGAAGUCAAAGCACUGCUAGGUAGUUGGGAAAGGGAAGCCCAAGCGGAAAAAGAUCAUAAUAAGCCGGGCUGUGAGGGUGAUCCAUGUUAGUUAUCUCUUGGAAUGUAAGGGGUAUUAAUGCUCGCCCCAAAAGAGCGAUUGUGAAAGAGUUGCUUACGAAAUUCAACCCAGACGUGGUAAUUCUACAAGAAACUAAAGUAAGCAGUGUCGAUCGUCAGUUGGUGAAGUCCGUUUGGAGUAGUCGGUUUGUUGGAUGGGCUUCCUUAGAGGCUUAUGGGUCGUCGGGUGGUAUUCUUAUUUUGUGGAAAGAGGAUUCACUCACGGUAGAUGACUCAAUUCAAGGGGAGUUCUCUGUUUCUAUUCAUUGUAAACUCAAUGCUGGUUUCUGUGGAUGGAUAACAGGUGUGUACGGCCCCUCAUCUUAUAAACGUAGAGACCAAUUCUGGAUGGAGCUUUCUAGCCUAUAUGGCUUGUGCAACGAUAACUGGUGCGUAGGGGGUGACUUCAAUGUAGUCAGAUGGUUGAAUGAGAAGAGCUCCGGCACUCGCCCGACUAGAAGUAUGCUUCGUUUUAACAACCUGAUUGAGGAAUUGGACCUGGUGGAUAUUCCCUUCCGAAACGGAAGGUUCUCUUGGUCCCGAUCAGGGGUCAGGCCCGCUGCUUCAAAGCUCGACAGAUUCCUUCUUUCCAAGCCUUGGAUGGAGUUCUUUAGAGAAGUAAGUGUGGAAAGACUUCCUCGUACCACAUCGGAUCACUUUCCGAUAAUUUUAAAAAUGGGGGCUCAUUCCUGGGGUCCCACACCUUUUAGAUUUGAAAAUGCUUGGCUGGAUCAUCAUCUUUUCUUUAAAAAUGUUGAGAACUGGUGGGGCAGUUUGGUGGCUGAUGGCUGGCCUAUAUUCUCUUUCAUGGAAAAGCUAAAAGGUCUGAAAGCCAUACUAAAAAGUUGGAAUAAGGAGACUUUUGGUAAUAUUUUCUCCCAAAAACAGGUGCUGAUUGAUAAGAUUAACUCUUUUGACUCACUUGAAGAGUCAAGCUGUCUCAACGAGGCAAAUGUGAAGGAAAGAGAAAACUGUAGAGGGGCUCUGCUUGAUUUGAUUGUGAAAGAGCAGAAGUUGUGGAUUCAGAAGUCGAAGCUUCAUUGGCUUAGGGAGGGGGAGGAAAACUCAAGCUUCUUUCACAGAUGGGUUUCGGCUCGCAAAAGUAAGAGUAUUAUUUCCUCCUUGGUUAGUAUUGAUGGGAAGACUCUUGUCACAGAGAAGGAGAUUGUGGAUGAGAUCCUUAGCUUCUUUUCAAUGUUAUAUGGCACAAGGAUCUCCUCGCCGUUUAUUUGCGACGGUCUUAAUUGGAGAGGCCUUAGCUUACAGGAUUCGAAUUUACUUGAGGCUCCUUUUACCGAAAAAGAAAUUAGAGAAGCUGUUUUUGAUAUGGGUUGUCUCAAGUCCCCUGGCCCUGAUGGCAUGACUGGAGAGUUUUAUAAAAAAUCAUGGAACAUUCUGAAGCCCGACCUCGUAAGGGUGUUCCAAGAUUUUUUUAAAAACGGAGUUAUUAAUAGAAGAUGUAACGAGACUUAUAUUUGCCUCAUCCCCAAAAAGAAAGAGGCGGGCCGUGUCAGUGACUUCAGACCAAUUAGCUUGAUUACCUCCUUGUAUAAAAUUAUCUCCAAGGUGCUUGCUUCAAGGCUUAAAAAAGUUCUUCCAUCGAUAAUUAAUGACUCUCAAAUGGCUUUUGUGGAGGGAAGGCAAAUCCUUGAUGCUAUCUUAACUGCUUCCGAGGCUGUUGACGAAUGGUCUUUAAGAGGCAGAAAAGGCGUGCUUUUGAAGCUCGACCUGGAGAAAGCUUAUGAUAAGGUGGAUUGGUCUUUUCUUGAUAUGAUCAUGAAACUUAAAGGCUUUGGUAAGAGAUGGAGGAAAUGGAUUUGGGGAUGCUUGUCGACAACUAAUUUCUCCAUAAUUGUCAAUGGGAGGCCUAGAGGAAAAAUUAUUGCUAAAAGGGGCAUUCGUCAAGGUGAUCCUCUUGCUCCUUUUCUUUUUACGAUUGUGGGAGAUGCUCUUAGUUGCCUUAUCCACUACUGUAAUGAGAAAAGGAGUUUAAGAGGCUUUCAUUUUGAGAACCUGACAGAAGAUUUAACCCAUCUUCAGUACGCAGACGACACGCUUCUUUUCUCUUCCUGGGAGGAUGGAAAUCUAGAGAACUGGUGGAAGGUGGUUAAUAUCUUCCUUAUGGGAGCCGGUCUUUCCCUUAACAAAGCUAAAACAUCCCUGAUUGGCAUUAACCUUAGCAAUGAUGACUUAGCUCCUUUUAGUGAAUCUACGGGAUGCUCGGUUGAUAAUCUUCCCUUUAAAUAUUUGGGCUUCUCUAUUGGAAGGGGUCAUAAUAGAAAAGAGAUGUGGAACAAUCUUGAAGAGAGAUUCAGACACAAACUUGAUAGGUGGAGGAAUGUAUCCCUCUCCAAAGGGGGUAGACUAACUCUGGUGCAAUCAGUUCUCAACAGCCUCCCUUGUUAUCUCUUCUCCCUUGCUCAAGCUCCAGUUGGCAUUAUUAAUAGAUUGGAACAGAUGAUCAGGAAGUUUGUUUGGACAGGUGGAUCUACGAAUCCAAUUGCUCAUCUCGUCAACUGGGAAUGCACUUCCGCCCCAACUUGUUACGGUGGUCUUGGGAUUGGCUCUUUUAGGCAAAAGAAUAUUGCUCUUCUCACUAAGUGGUUAUGGAGGUUUAGUAAGGAAGAAACCUCUUUAUGGAGGCGAUUAAUUGUGGCCAUCUAUGGUUUAGAUGAGAAUGGGUGGUCUACCAAAAAUCCAAACAGGGGAAAAUCUCAUAGAUUAUGGGCUGGUAUUUUAAAGCAUAAGGAGAUAUUCUUCAAUUUUUCUGCUUUUGUUUUGGGAGAAGGAACAAAAAUCAAAUUUUGGAAGGAUAAAUGGUGUGUCGCGGAAACACUUGCAGAAAAAUUCCCUAACUUAUUCUCUUUGGCGCUGAAUAAGGAAGCUUAUGUGGCUGAUUGCUGGUGUACUGCUACUCAUUCUUGGAAUUUGGGCCUUAGAAGAAAUAUGCUCGACAACGAGAUUGCCAAUGCAGCCUCAGCUUUAGAAAUUCUUCACUCGUGGGCCCCCACUGAAAGGAAUGAUAGUCUUAAAUGGAUUCCUAACAUAAAUGGCAACUUCACUACAAAAUCUACUUUUCUUAACUUAACUAAGAGAUCUCCCAACAUUGCUGUUCCCUUGAUUCGUCAGAUUUGGAAGAAUAAAAUCCCGAAGAAGGUGAAGUUUUUCUUAUGGUCGCUUGCUUACAGAAGCCUCAACACCCAUGAGAAACUACAAAAAAAAAUUCAGAACACUUUGCUUAGCCCCUCGAUGUGUUGCCUAUGCGCUAAAGAUGAGGAAACGUUGGAUCAUUUAUUUCUACAUUGUCCCUUCACAAGAAAAGCUUGGUACACUCUGUUUGGUAUUUUCGAUCUUGGAGCUUUGCCUUCCUAGCAAGAUUGAUAGAUGGAUGAUUGAAGGUCUUAACUUUAGAGGUUACAGCCCUAAAGGAAACAUCUUAUGGAAAUGCGCGACGCGUUCCCUUUUGUGGAGCAUUUGGAAAGAAAGGAAUAGCAGAAUCUUUGACGAUAGAUUUAAUUCUUUUGAUUCUUUUUGGACUGUGGUUCAACACACAGCCUCUUGGUGGAGUACGAAUUACACCAAACACUUUUGUAAUUAUAGCCUUUCUAUGAUUUUCAACAAUUGGAAGGCCAUUAUGUCUUAGUUCCUUAGCUUCUUCCGGGGAGGGCCCUCUCAUCCCUCGCCCUUAGGUUGUUCUGUUUUGUUAUAUGAAUAUACUUGUCUCUUAUCAAAAAAAAAAAAAAAGUCACACUAGGUUGAAUGGAUUCGUGACGAGCCCAUCACCUUAAUUACUAUUUACUAUAAGUAUCUAUUUAAAAUCCAUCCAACCUUAUUCCCAUAUAAAUUGCACAUUUAACGUCCAUUCUUCUUCAACCAUCUACACAAGUUAUUGUGGAUGCUUCAUCUUCACCAGAAUAUUCUAUAAGACCUAAAAAGAAGACAACAAAUUAAUUUACAAAGUAUAAUAUAUACACAAUGAUAUAUUUAAAGCUUCGUUGGAAAAAAAAUUACCCAACUCAUUUUCAAUAUUGACUAGUAAUGAAUUCCCCAUAGGGGGCUGAGUUUUCGUUUCCAUGGUAAGCAUCUUAAGAGAUAUUUUCCUUAGGUAAUCUGACUGAAAUAAGAUAUUAAAAAUAAAAUUGGUGAGAUUGCUAAAACAAAGUUGUGUUUGGUGGAAGAACACAUAACACGAUCAAACAGGAUUUCAAUGAGAGAAAUGAAAGAAUAUACAUGGGCACACAAAAAAAGAAAGUCAGGCCCCAAAGAAAAAAAAGGAGUAUGUUCGUUACACAACUAAAACUUAGGUAGCAAAUCAAACCGGUAUCUUAUUGUUAAUAGAAUAUGGGAUAAACAUAAAUGACAAUCCUUGAUUUAAACAACAACAAAGCGAGCAAGAAUACCUGACUGGUAGCGGCAGUAAAAAUCUUUUCCUCAAACCUUACAGCAAUUUUUCGUAGUUCACUCAAUCCCUCUUGACCAGAAACAGGAAGGUGCCUCUUCAAUGUCUCCAUUCUAACCAAAAAAAAAAAAGAUAAAAAUAUAAAAGCAUAGUGGCUAACUAGUAUAUUAAAUGCAAAAGCAUGAGAAGUUGUUCUUGAAAGGAAAACUACAAUAGCAAUCUAUGUCCAUGAUUCAAAGUAUUAGAUACUUUAGAGGAGCGUACUCUAAAAUGGCCCAGUCAAAUUCAGCAAGAUCCCCACCUCUACAAAUAGCUUACAUUUCUUCUUUUUAAAGAAGAGGAUAAUACCUGAAGAAUCAAAAAAGAACCUCCCCACAAAACCCAACCUACUAUAUCUUCAAUCCAAGAAUGGGAAAGUCAAUAACGUGUAAUUUCAAGAAAUUACGUUUUAGAAACAGAAUUCAAGAAAUCAUUCCCGAGUAAUCUAACCAACGAACUAUGAAACAAAGAGCUAUAUAAGCUCAAAGGCAUAUGUUAAAUAAGAUAGAAUAGUAGAGCAGGAUGUAAGAAAUCAUACAUUUUGUUGACAAUUCGUUGUCGAGAAUCUGGUUGCAAUUGAGACCUCCAAUCCACGGUCUCCAUUCCAGGUUCUACAGCUUGAGUAGGUCUCCAAUUAUUGUUAUCCAUUCAAAAGUUCCCAAACAACCAAAAUGGAAAAGGGUGUGUCCAAAACCCCAAUAACAAGGAGUGGGGUGGGUGGGAUCAAUGAAGGUCAGAAAUUGGCGGUGGAGAUAGUAAUCGGGCAGAAAUUGGGUGGGGUCAAUGAAUGGAUUCUGCAAUUGUUUUGGAGCUGAUUACAGAGAAUGAUGAGUCAAAUUAUCUGGAAAUAGCGGAAACCUAAAGAAGAUAAAUCAUCG
rnacentral:lncRNA from 1 species